rnacentral:rRNA from 1 species
CCUACGGGGGGCAGCAGUGGGGAAUAUUGCACAAUGGGGGGAACCCUGAUGCAGCGACGCCGCGUGAAUGACGAAGUAUUUCGGUACGUAAAGCUCUAUCAGCAGGGAAGAAAAUAGGACGGUACCUGAGUAAGAAGCCCCGGCUAACUACGUGCAAGCAGCCGCGGUAAUACGUAGGGGGCAGGCGUUAUCCGGAAUUACUGGGUGUAAAGGGAGCGUAGACGGCAAUGCAAGGCCGGAGUGGAAUGCGGCAGCUCAACUGCCGAAAUGCUCUGGAAACUGUAUGGCUUGAGUGCAAGAGAGGUAAGCGGAAUUCCUGGUGUAGCGGUGAAAUGCGUAGAUAUCAGGAGGAACACCGUUGGCGAAGGCGGCAUACUGGACGGUAACGGACGUUGAGGCUCGAAAGCGUGGGGAGCAAACAGGAUUAGAUACCCCAGUAGUC